CCGAGUGUAAUUGUGAUAUCUGUACGGGUUACCUCGGCCGUGAACCGUCCAGGCCUGCCGUCCUGUUCCGCAGGUGCAGCUUUAUUUCAUUGUACGCUGAAAAGUUACGGCGAAACGGGGUCUUCUACUCUCGCGGGUAUCGUACGGGAUACGCGACGUCGGCGACGCGAGAAGGAAAAAUGCAUUCUGAGACCGAGUUAUAAAUCUCUGAAUAAUUGUUGAACAAGUGCGCUUCGGAGCAAGGUUCAGCGCGUAGAAGCUUCGCCGAGUUGGCAGUGUUUAAAUGCGGAAUGAUCAAUGGCGCCAGUAAUCGAUAUGGCUAGAAGAGUAAGGAACGACUGUUUUAGCGUUAUUAAUGAUUAUGGUAAGAAAUUACAUAUGUCAUUGUUUCCAGGAGAGAUUUGACGUGUUUUGUAAUCUGUCAAAAAUGCUACGUUGCAAACCGCGAUUCUCUGUUACUUUAAUUUAUAAAUUAUAUUUAAUAAGAACAUGGUAAAGUGGCGCCAGUACAGAUUUUCUCAGAAACUAUAUUCGUUACAUACAAGUUCCGAACGGCUUGUAACGCCACGUCUGUAGGAAUCCACGAUUUCAGCUAGCUUCGAGGUAAUUCUUAACUUCGCCGGAAGAAUCACCCGGUUUCCCGAGUCGCAAUAUCCCCGUCUGGGGGAGGAAACGGCGAGCGAAAUUAGCGGGUGGCUUAGCAAACACGAGAAGAAAUCGAACGAAACUGGUCGCGAGAGAUAAUGACGACGGUAGAAACGGGGACAGUGGACCGAGAUACGGAAAAACAUCUGUCGCGAUAAAAAUUCCAGCGGGUAGAUAACGGAGCGCACUCUUGACCACAAUAAUGGGGAAAAAUAGAAGAAAUUAAUACGCCGACGAAAGACGACGGGGAACUCGCGGGGCUUUCGUGUUCCGUCGUGCUUGUCGUUGUUCUCAGUGUAAUUCCGGUGUUUGUACGGAUUACUUCGUCCGUGAACCGUCCAGGUCCUGUUCCGAGGAUAUGGCCAUUGAGAGUCGUUUUUACCUGACCUGGGGCUUUCUAUUGGUCGCCCUACUGUGUUUCUCCGAGGGGACAUUCUUCCUGGAGGACUCGAUUGUUUUAAACAAGAUAAAAGACGUGGUCAAAGGCACGAGUGAAAAAAUCGUGAACGGCACCGUGACGGGGAUUAAUUCGAUUUUUGUGAUACCAUGGAUGACGACGACGACGACGACGACGACGACGACGACGACGACGACAACGGAGGACCCUAUCGAGACCGAGACGGAUACGGUGCUCUUUAAGAGUAUUAUAGAUGCUCCCCGCAGGUGUCGUUUCGUUAAUGGAAGGUGUCGCAAGCCGAUUGCAUGAUGCUCAAGAAGAAUUUAUCAUACCGUGUAACUUUAAUUGAUGAGAAAAGAAAAAGAAGUGGAAUCCUUGUCGAUAACAAACUCGGGAAAAAGUGGUCCAAACUAAGAGGAAAUAAAUCUAUCAAUUGCAUUCCUGUAGCAUUUUGUACUGAAAACCCAAUUUCGUUUGAUAAUUGUUCCGUGAAUUGCAGAGUACGAUUAAUAUUGAUCGGUUAUAAUUAAUACAUAUAUUCGAGAAACACGAAUUCAUAAAUAGAUAACUCUAUUAUUUAUUCAAAGCCCGUAGAGAAGUUAAUAUUAAAUUAUACGAAAUAAAACUUUAACUAUGUAAAACUAUUUUUAACGAAACACUGUACGUUUAAUUAAAAUAAUUUUCAUAUAA